UACGUAGGGGGCCAGCGUUGUCCGGAUUUACUGGGCGUAAAGCGCGCGUAGGCGGAACGUUAAGUCCGGUCUGAAAGCCCCCGGCUCAACCGGGGAGGGUGGCUGGAAACUGGCGUUCUUGAGGGCGAGAGAGGAGGGUGGAAUUCCUGGUGUAGCGGUGAAAUGCGCAGAUAUCAGGAAGAACACCCGUGGCGAAGGCGGCUCUCUGGGACGGUACUGACGCUGAGACGCGAAAGCGUGGGGAGCGAACAGG
rnacentral:rRNA from 1 species